rnacentral:pre_miRNA from 1 species
AAAAAGACAAACCCUGGUUUCCGUGUCCAACGUUUGACCGUUCGUCUUAUUUGAAAAAAAUAUGAAAAAAUUAAAAAGAUAAGUCACGCACAAAGUAUUAAUCAUGUUUUAUCAUCUAACAACAAUGAAAAUACUAAUUAUAAAAAAUUUUUAUAUAAGAUGGACAGUCAAACGUUGGUACGGGAACCCACGGUUUGCCUUUUU